rnacentral:rRNA from 1 species
CGUGCUUAACACAUGCAAGUCGAACGCUGAAGCUGGGUGCUUGCACUUGGUGGAUGAGUGGCGAACGGGUGAGUAAUACGUGAGUAAUCUGCCCUUGGCUUUUGGGAUAAGCACUGGAAACGGUGUCUAAUACCAGAUAUGACUGCGGGUCGCAUGGCUCGUGGUGGAAAGAUUUAUUGGCUUUGGAUGGGCUCACGGCCUAUUAGUUUGUUGGUGGGGUAAUGGCUCACCAAGGCGAUGAUGGGUAGCCGGCCUGAGAGGGUGACCGGCCACACUGGGACUGAGAUACGGCCCAGACUCCUACGGGAGGCAGCAGUGGGGAAUAUUGCACAAUGGACGAAAGUCUGAUGCAAGCGACGCCGCGUGGAGGAUGACGGCCUUCGGGUUGUAAACUCCUUUCAGUAGGGAGGAAGCCUCUUUUUGGGGUGACGGUACUUGCAGAAGAAGCGCCGGCUAACUACGUGCCAGCAGCAGC